rnacentral:rRNA from 3 species
UUAAGCGACUAAGCGUACACGGUGGAUGCCCUGGCAGUCAGAGGCGAUGAAGGACGUGCUAAUCUGCGAUAAGCGUCGGUGAGGUGAUAUGAACCGUUAUAACCGGCGAUUUCCGAAUGGGGAAACCCAGUGUGUUUCGACACACUAUCAUUAACUGAAUCCAUAGGUUAAUGAGGCGAACCGGGGGAACUGAAACAUCUAAGUACCCCGAGGAAAAGAAAUCAACCGAGAUUCCCCCAGUAGCGGCGAGCGAACGGGGAGGAGCCCAGAGCCUGAAUCAGUGUGUGUGUUAGUGGAAGCGUCUGGAAAGGCGUGCGAUACAGGGUGACAGCCCCGUACACAAAAAUGCACAUAUUGUGAGCUCGAUGAGUAGGGCGGGACACGUGGUAUCCUGUCUGAAUAUGGGGGGACCAUCCUCCAAGGCUAAAUACUCCUGACUGACCGAUAGUGAACCAGUACCGUGAGGGAAAGGCGAAAAGAACCCCGGCGAGGGGAGUGAAAAAGAACCUGAAACCGUGUACGUACAAGCAGUGGGAGCCUCUUAAUGGGGUGACUGCGUACCUUUUGUAUAAUGGGUCAGCGACUUAUAUUCUGUAGCAAGGUUAACCGAAUAGGGGAGCCGAAGGGAAACCGAGUCUUAACUGGGCGUUAAGUUGCAGGGUAUAGACCCGAAACCCGGUGAUCUAGCCAUGGGCAGGUUGAAGGUUGGGUAACACUAACUGGAGGACCGAACCGACUAAUGUUGAAAAAUUAGCGGAUGACUUGUGGCUGGGGGUGAAAGGCCAAUCAAACCGGGAGAUAGCUGGUUCUCCCCGAAAGCUAUUUAGGUAGCGCCUCGUGAAUUCAUCUCCGGGGGUAGAGCACUGUUUCGGCAAGGGGGUCAUCCCGACUUACCAACCCGAUGCAAACUGCGAAUACCGGAGAAUGUUAUCACGGGAGACACACGGCGGGUGCUAACGUCCGUCGUGAAGAGGGAAACAACCCAGACCGCCAGCUAAGGUCCCAAAGUCAUGGUUAAGUGGGAAACGAUGUGGGAAGGCCCAGACAGCCAGGAUGUUGGCUUAGAAGCAGCCAUCAUUUAAAGAAAGCGUAAUAGCUCACUGGUCGAGUCGGCCUGCGCGGAAGAUGUAACGGGGCUAAACCAUGCACCGAAGCUGCGGCAGCGACACUAUGUGUUGUUGGGUAGGGGAGCGUUCUGUAAGCCUGUGAAGGUGGCCUGUGAGGGUUGCUGGAGGUAUCAGAAGUGCGAAUGCUGACAUAAGUAACGAUAAAGCGGGUGAAAAGCCCGCUCGCCGGAAGACCAAGGGUUCCUGUCCAACGUUAAUCGGGGCAGGGUGAGUCGACCCCUAAGGCGAGGCCGAAAGGCGUAGUCGAUGGGAAACAGGUUAAUAUUCCUGUACUUGGUGUUACUGCGAAGGGGGGACGGAGAAGGCUAUGUUGGCCGGGCGACGGUUGUCCCGGUUUAAGCGUGUAGGCUGGUUUUCCAGGCAAAUCCGGAAAACCAAGGCUGAGGCGUGAUGACGAGGCACUACGGUGCUGAAGCGACAAAUGCCCUGCUUCCAGGAAAAGCCUCUAAGCAUCAGGUAACAUCAAAUCGUACCCAAAACCGACACAGGUGGUCAGGUAGAGAAUACCAAGGCGCUUGAGAGAACUCGGGUGAAGGAACUAGGCAAAAUGGUGCCGUAACUUCGGGAGAAGGCACGCUGAUAUGUAGGUGAAGCGACUUGCUCGUGGAGCUGAAAUCAGUCGAAGAUACCAGCUGGCUGCAACUGUUUAUUAAAAACACAGCACUGUGCAAACACGAAAGUGGACGUAUACGGUGUGACGCCUGCCCGGUGCCGGAAGGUUAAUUGAUGGGGUUAGCGGCAACGCGAAGCUCUUGAUCGAAGCCCCGGUAAACGGCGGCCGUAACUAUAACGGUCCUAAGGUAGCGAAAUUCCUUGUCGGGUAAGUUCCGACCUGCACGAAUGGCGUAAUGAUGGCCAGGCUGUCUCCACCCGAGACUCAGUGAAAUUGAACUCGCUGUGAAGAUGCAGUGUACCCGCGGCAAGACGGAAAGACCCCGUGAACCUUUACUAUAGCUUGACACUGAACAUUGAGCCUUGAUGUGUAGGAUAGGUGGGAGGCUUUGAAGUGUGGACGCCAGUCUGCAUGGAGCCGACCUUGAAAUACCACCCUUUAAUGUUUGAUGUUCUAACGUUGGCCCGUAAUCCGGGUUGCGGACAGUGUCUGGUGGGUAGUUUGACUGGGGCGGUCUCCUCCUAAAGAGUAACGGAGGAGCACGAAGGUUGGCUAAUCCUGGUCGGACAUCAGGAGGUUAGUGCAAUGGCAUAAGCCAGCUUGACUGCGAGCGUGACGGCGCGAGCAGGUGCGAAAGCAGGUCAUAGUGAUCCGGUGGUUCUGAAUGGAAGGGCCAUCGCUCAACGGAUAAAAGGUACUCCGGGGAUAACAGGCUGAUACCGCCCAAGAGUUCAUAUCGACGGCGGUGUUUGGCACCUCGAUGUCGGCUCAUCACAUCCUGGGGCUGAAGUAGGUCCCAAGGGUAUGGCUGUUCGCCAUUUAAAGUGGUACGCGAGCUGGGUUUAGAACGUCGUGAGACAGUUCGGUCCCUAUCUGCCGUGGGCGCUGGAGAACUGAGGGGGGCUGCUCCUAGUACGAGAGGACCGGAGUGGACGCAUCACUGGUGUUCGGGUUGUCAUGCCAAUGGCACUGCCCGGUAGCUAAAUGCGGAAGAGAUAAGUGCUGAAAGCAUCUAAGCACGAAACUUGCCCCGAGAUGAGUUCUCCCUGACUCCUUGAGGGUCCUGAAGGAACGUUGAAGACGACGACGUUGAUAGGCCGGGUGUGUAAGCGCAGCGAUGCGUUGAGCUAACCGGUACUAAUGAACCGUGAGGCUUAACCUU